AACAAAAAAGGAUUAAAAUGACACUGUUCUAUUCGAUUCAAUUUCCCCGCAAACAAACAGUGUUCUUUCGAAAAGAGUGUUCUACAAAAUCUUCAAUCUCACUAACAUGUUCUACAAAAUCUGGUGAUUUUGGGCAGUAAUCUUCGAUCAUAAUCUUCAAUGGAACAUUGAAAGGACCAGUUCUCCCUACCAAUUCAUCGUUUUAGGGAUUGGACGUUUCUCGCCUUCGAAUUCAGUUUUUCAAGCCUUCGAAUUGACGUUUCUCGCAGAUUUUCUUAGCAAUUUCCUAAUUCGAUCGCAUCUUCAGAUCAUCACUCCUUUGUGUUAUGAUAUGUGUUUGUCAGGAUCAGUUGAAGUUGCUACAGUUUUAUAGAGCAGCUGAAGAGAUCUUGUGACCGAGUUCCUGAGGCUCUCAUUUUUUGGCGACUUGUCAGCAUGGUGCUCUUGCUAUGAAGAAAUGUUAGUGGACUCUUCCUGACUAUCUCAGUCUCAGGUGCAGAAAAUGUGAUUCGUCUAGAAUUUUCUGGUUUUAUGUGGUAUCUGAUUUGUACAUUGAACAUUUUAGUUGAGAGUGUAAAGAUUUAGCCACUGCAAAGCUUAGUUGGUGCAGAAAAUGUCAAAUAGUGAUUUGGUAGUGUAGAUACAUCAGACUGUGUUCUUAUUAUUGAGACGUACAUGUGGUAUUUCAGAAA